CGCCGCUCUCCCCUUCUAUAUAUACAUGGAGUUGGCGAUCCGAUCAUCUUCGUUCAGCCGCUGUGGCUUCCCGUAGCCCUCUUUUUCCCUCUUGGUUUUAUUUUUGGUUUUUUGUUAUUAUUUUCUCUCCGUAGCAAGCAGGCGAUGAUGAAGACAACAGUCAUGCACCACUCUGAUGAGGAUUCUCGUCUCAUGUGCUGACAACAAGUCUUAUACCCAUCUCCCUCUGAGCCGCUUCUGCCCGGUAUUCUCUUCUCUUUCUGUUUUGACCCCUUUUUGGCUCUCGAAUUUGUCUUCGGAUCUGCUUUUGUUGGGAAUGUUUUGUGCUCUUGAUGCUAUUGAUCGAAGCAUUCCUUCUUGCGAGCUUCUCUUCUGGAUUUGAUGACAGUAUAAUCUUAUUUACCAAUUUCCUUCUUGUACGACAAUGUUUUUCCUCCUCUUUGGUAUUUGCGGAGUAGAGGAAAGAUCAGAUGAUGAGGGCUUAGGCCCAACCACGAUGCGGACCGAACUGGCUCUUCUUGCGCCCUGUGGAUCCCACGUUUUGUCUGAUGAUCUUGUUCUCUCUUUCCCUCUCUUUUUUUUAUGCGCGUGAUGUACCAGUUUCCAGCGUUAAUCGGAAGCAUCGUUGGGUACCAAUCGGAUUAGAAGCACAGCCUGCAUUUCUUGGGCUUGUACGAUAGGAUUGAUCAUCCUAUCGUUCCUGUCAGAACGAGGACUUGAUCUUGCUGUUUCUGUGCAUGCAUCGGUAAGCAUGGAAUCUUUUCGAUGCAUCUUCGUCGAUCAUAAGCAACUGAAUACGGGUGUCGUGCUUCUCUUGCACUCACUUGACCGAUCUGAUACAUAUAGCUACAGUCGGUGUGUACUUCGAACGCUGAGGCAAAACGGAGGGCAGCAGUCGUGUAGAAGCGAUGUGACCCUCGUACAUAGAUCAUAACUAAUACGUGAUUAGACAGAGCUUAGUAAUUAUCCAGUAAUAUUUGCUCUACUUUUAUCUAAAAUUAAUUUCUUGAUAUAUUUUUCGGAGAAUAAUCUAUAGAAAAUUUUGACGAAAAACUCUUCAUUAUCGGAUUGGUUGAAUAUUAUAUGGAGAUUAUCCAUUAAUAUCUUUAUUUUAAUUUGAAAAUUAUUUUUGAAUUCCAUAUUGGUGGAAGAGUUAUUAUAUAAUUUGAUGAAAAAAGUUCAGUCAAUGAUAGAUCAUUUCGAUUACUUGUUUCUCAUUAAUUCAAAUUAUUCAUUAAUAUUUUUCCUAUUGAAUUUGAAAAAGUAUUUUCUUGCUGUUUCAUAUUAGGGGCAGAAUUAUUAUAAAAUUUUGAUUUAAAAAGUUUUAUUGUCAAAGUUUGGUCACAGUUUUAUAUUAUAUAUGGUAAGACAUGUUUUGCUCCCAGGAUACGUUAAUGUUGAUAUCACACGUCACAUCACAUUGUUCUACACGUCUGGUCUCGACAAUCUUGGGACGGCAACGCCUCACACAUCGAGUCAGAAUCCAUACUGAUAUCGUGUUGUGUUCAUCAUGUCAAUCAACGUACGAUCGAUCCUCUCAUCACAGUAUAAAUAUUUCUAUCCCGGUCUCCAAAAAGAAAAAGAAGAAAAAGGGAGAUUACUGAUUUGUUCGUUAGAGGGGUCAAAGUCGGGGAUCAUCGGAUGAAAGUUAUUUUUGCAAGAAGGAAACCUAACCUCGGGAGUCGUGGAUCGGCGCUCCCACCCCCUACUCGAGGAUCCAAUCGGCGCCGACAACCAGCUCAAUCGACAGGAGGCUUUCGACAUCGAUCCGUGGAUUAAGUCGUGCUGAUUCAUCAUUCUUCGUUCUCCUACACUAUAUAUUCUCAUUGACAUUUUUUUUGCGCCAAGAAUGCUGAUGUUUCAUGUAUAUCUUGCAAUCUAUUAAUCUUUACAAGAUCAGAUCUUGCCAAAUAACUUUGUCAAGGAAUUUAAAUGACUUUGUCAAACUUGCAUUUCUAUCGGACACAAUAAAGGACAAGUGCAAUGAUUGAACACUGGAUAUUAUUCAUCAUAACAACGAUAGAAGGAAGGAAACAGUGGAAGGGAAAUAAGCAGAUGAUGCUUAGUGCAUGACGUAGACGUCCCAUUCUAGAACGGCAUCGCCCAGAGUCUGGUUGAACGAGUAGGUCUUCAUGAGCACGUAGCCGCGUGCGAGCCUGAACGCGCCGCUGCCUCCCACCACCGGGAGCUCUCUCACCGGCGAGAAGAUGGCGUCUCUGCUCAGUAUCGCCAGCGUGCUUCCCUUGUACUCUCCCUCCGUGAACACCAGGUUCACCGUUAGCAUUAAGGCGACGUCGGCCGGGUCCUGCGACGCCAUAGCGUAGAAGCCUUGCGCCCGGCCGACUAGUGGAGAAGACGGGCUUGGUCCGGUGGUCAACAGGUCGUCUACUACGUAGAUGUCGCCGAAGUUGAUGCCCGGUCCCGUGCUCGUCUGAGGCCCUUCGGCGACCCUCACAGCGGUGGCGUUGGGGUUGCUUAUCUUGUCAUGCAUGUAGAAGUGUAGGCGGGUGGUCGGCUCCUUCCCGGCGGCCAAGAUUGCUACGGACGCGAGAGAGAGGAGGAGGAUGAUGGUGCCAUUGAAGGUAGCCAUGCGGGAGGUAGCGAAGCUUCCGUGUGUUGGAAGGUUUGAGGGAUGAUAGUCCUCAUUAUAUAAUGAGGGUUUUGGCCAUUUGAUGUUUAUAAUAUGUGGAAGACCAUGGAACACCAGCUAUUUCAAGUGCGUGCAAUGAUUCCUUCUCUCUCUCUCUCUCUCUCUUAACGAACACAUUUAUUGUAGAUAGACAAAUGGCGGAGUGGACUUACAACAACAGUGUUACAUACAGUUCAUGCCAUCAAAAUUUUGUAAUGCCCAAGUAGUAUUUAUGUAACUGUUGCUUCAUUCAUAGGGAAAUCAUUCGAUUAUGAUCAUACAUACGGCUGAGGUUUAAUAUUGAUAGUGAUUCAACAUCCAUAUCCAAAUCGGAUUUUAGAUUGUGAGAAUCAUACUUGGUCAAAAUAAAGUCGGGUGUGGGAAUCAUAGGGGCCAAUUAUAGGGGUUUGGUCAACGGCACAAGAAGUCUACGAGCUGGCGCGUGCGGCUAACUGCCGGCAUCGUCAAUUCUGCUGUUCCGGCCCUUUCCCAAAGUCAAAAUCUCCACCCUGUACCUGCCUCCCACCUUCCACCCUCAACGAUGGCAGUCCCAUCUCUAUUCUUCGCUCUGUGUUUCAUCAUAACCUCUCUCUCCACCUCCCUCUUUGGUGCUGUUAAGAACUCUCUCGUGCUCGUCAUUCUUAUCCAAUCCUUUCUCUAUCUCCGUGAAUCCAUUACCAUCUCGCGGCAGUACACUCGGCCCCAUGAGGUCUGCCUCCCUUUCUUCUUUCGCUUCUUCUGCGCCCAGAAACAUUGUCUUCUUCAGCGUCUCCAAGGAGGAGAAGAAGAACCUCUUGUACUCCUACAAUGGCGGCGGCCACGAGCUGCAGGCGUUGGCCCUCAACUGGCUGGGCCAGGCCAAACCCUACCAUUCCUGGCACUCCCACACCGCCGACAACAUGACAUUCGGGUUCCUGAUGCACGGCGGGUACACCUUUUUCGCCAUCGACAACGCCGGCAGCUCGGAGAUGCUGCUGUUCCUCGAGCGCCUCCGCGACGCCUUCGAGGCCGCGCCGAAGAACGACAGGGUGGAAGGCGAGCUCAGCUGGGUCGUCAGGAUCGGGGCGGAGAAGGCGUGCACGGAGGAGAGAAAGCCAAAGGACGUCUACGGCGGCGGCGAGUCGAAGGUGGAUGUGCUGCAGGAAGACGCAGGUGGCGUGGUGUCGUCGGGGAGGAGCUCGAGCUCGGUGCUCAAGGCGCAGCAAUGCGCGCGCAGGUUGUGGUGGCGCCAUGCGAAGACCGUUGCCGCGGUCGACGUGCUGCUGUGUCUGGCGAUGUUUGCGGUGUGGUUGGUGGUGUGCGAAGGCCUUCAAUGUGUUGGUCGACGAUGAAGACGAAGUGCAUGCCGGAGCUGUUCAUCCGAAUGGAUUCCAAGUAGUGUUAGCGUGCUGAUCUUAUGGAUGGUCGGUUGGUGGAGACAAUAUUGGACUCUGUGUUAGUCUUCUAAAUGUAUCUAUCUAUUGGUUUGUCCUCCCUAAUACGCCUCAUGGCAGAGAUGUACGGUCGGUUGGUUAUCCAGGGAAUAGACCUUUCGUCACCCAACACUGUUAGUAUUUUACCAUUGUUGUAAAUAAUCUGGUUAACCUGCCUGCUUGCUAAUGGUUUAUUAUUUCCCACUAACCUCAGGCAUCGGACGAAGUCCGACUUCAUGUCAUGUCACCCAUCACAGAUGCCCCAAAAACAACGAUCAUAAGAACAAUACUAAAAUGAUCUUUUACAUGAAGCGGAAGAGAGCAUACAUGCACAUUUUAUUCUCGAACUAAAGUGAAAUAAUAAAACAUAUAGAGAGAUAUAAACAUUUUUCAUAUUCGAUUUUUUUUUCUUUCUGUUUUUAAUUCUAAAUUCUCAACAAUCUUUUCACUGUAAACAGUAUUCGAAAGAAAGUGGAAUUGACAAUCAAAUUUGAUCUUAUCAGCAGCAUCACCAUUGAAAGAUUUGCAUGCAAACCUGCUUAUACAUUUCAUUUACAUAUAAUGAUCCACAUCAGAGUCCGAUUACUAAGACACAAAUUUGGUAGAUGGACACAAAAUAAAAAGGGGAUAAAACAUCCAUAAUUUCUCAUCACUAAAGGAUGAACAUCAAAUAUUUAUGUACAUAAACUAUUAAGGUUCAAGCGAAUAUAAGUGUCUUUAACAUGGGCAACAAACAUAUUUAAAGGAGUAAAUCAUCCUACUUGGACGCAGCAGCAACAUAUCUAUUGUAUCAAUAAAGAAAGGUAUUCUAUUUACUACCGAGGAAAAACACACACAAACAGUGCUAUGAAUGCUUGCUCGCUAUCCUAAUGCAUCAUCCUUUCACAUGUCUGAUCUAACGACACCACUAUAACCAUCACCUAAAGUGUCAUCGUCCAUCCAUCUUUAUCCUUACCAUCACCAGACAACACGGCAACCUUGGUGACAAAAAGACCCCAUGUUGGUUCUCCUAUACCAAUCGCCCAACCUCCACGGAAUAUAACAAAAAGAGCAAGGGAAAAUCGUAUUCCUACUUGGGAAGGGCAGACGCGCCGGCAGUUCUAAUCGGCAACAAUGUCCGCAUCAGCAUCAAGAAAAGCCUUCUCUGAACCAGACUUGGCAGCCUCACUGAUGACUGGAAGCUUUUUCUUCGGACAGAGUCUCUUGGCUUCUUCACUUGUGUAAAUAUAUAUCUUCCUCACCAUACUGCAGAACUCACUGUAUAUCCAUGUACAUAAAUCGAAAUUACUAUGGUGCCAGAUGUUCAGACAUACCUCUCAGAAAGAUUUAAGCAGAUAAUUAUAUUGUUAAAGAGGAAGUUUUUGGAGCCUUACUGCCAAGGAUCAUCGCCGACCAACAUCAUGUCAUCCUCAUCAUCUGUGUAGACAACCACCCACUUCUUAACUCCACCAGAGAGCUCUCCUUCAAUGUCAAACAUCUCUUCCAGCUUCUGCACAAGUUGAUCAUAUCCGAUUAAUCUCGUCAGAUCCACUGCCCUCCCCACUGCCAUACCCUGCAUGUGAACCUGCACAAAGAGAAGGUGCUUUAGCAUACUUUCAAGCUUCAAAUAGCAGCUGCUGCAGGAAACAGAAUUUCUUACCAGCAUCUCUAACAAAAACAGUUUUCCAAUACUUAAAUAAUGAGUUUGCCGUUGCCAAAGGAGUAUAGUUUCAACAUUUAGAUACAAAAAUAUGUUUGUCGAAGUAUGUCAUCAAGUUUAAAAGGAAAAGCAAUCCAUAACCUUUGUGCAGCUUCUCAGUUGCCGGCCUUGCGUCUCCUGAGCUAAUUUUAAGCAUAAAUUCUCUGGCUCACUGUUGACUGCAGCUGCAUCAGACUGGUCAAUGUUCGACGGUUGUGAUUGUUGGUCUGAAUCCGCUUCCAAAGAUGUCGCUGGCUUGUCCAGCCCAACACCUGAAAUUGUAGGAACUCGCGAUGUUUCUUCUAUUUCAGAACUCUCAAAUAGCUGAAUCCCAAACAGCCUGCAGCCUUUGCCAGUUUCCUGCUUUUUAUCACAUGGUUCUCUAUUGAUGCUUGCUGAGAAGGUAUCACUUUGAGUUUCUGUCCUAAUUGGCCAGCACAUGUGGCUACUGGCAGCAGUUGAUGGAGCAAUGUUUGCAUUGAAUCCGAUGGAACUAGGCUGUGAUGCUGAUGAGAAUAGAGAUGUUGGUUUGGAUGGUGAAUAUAGCUUUUCACCUCUUUGUGACCCUGAAAAAGAGAACAUUUGGCUAUUCUCGACCUGGAAUUUCCAAGUACCUGCAAUAAAAUAAUUACAAUAGCGAGACAGGUGCUAAGAAAAUGAUCUGCAGAGAAGCAAUGCAAGAAAAACCAGAUCAUCAUUGCAAGGAAUACAAGUGCAUGAACAAAGGAUUCCGUGUCAAUCUAUAAUGAAUGUAGGCCACCUAAUCUGUCAGAACAUCUUGAGUCCUGAAGAGUUGAAACUUGAUAUGACGCAAAAGACGAGCACAAAAGGUUUCCAAUUUUUUCUUACUUUAUCAGAAAACUUACUCGAAGGCAUGCAAGCGUAAAUUAAUUCAUAGAACGUCAUACACAAUUGGUGGAUGUGUUUAUAAUGUUAUUUCACAUGGAAUCAUCAAGAAACAUUUACUUCAAUUCCGAAGAAAAGACUAAAACAACACCAAUCGUUAAAUCUGGUUCUCAGAUACAAAAGAGAUUGAAAGCAGUUACUGAUGGCAAAAUCCAUACCAGGCGCAGGAGAAGGUUCUGGUAACAUGACAGAUGAAGCUGGUGGUCGUGUUCGUUUGAUUCGCUGGACUGGUUGGGAGGUCGGAGGAGUAGCUGCCACCAGUGGCUCCAAUUCCCAAGGUGAAACACUGUCUGGACGUUGUAUAGAUGAUGAUUCAUCCCAUUGGACCUAAUCAUAAAACACAAAACUCUUACUAGGUUCACGAAAAAUUCUGUGAUCAUUCAGAAAACAUAGUAUAAUCCAAAUGAUAAAAGGUUCCAUGUCAUUACACUGAAAAGAGAAACGCUUUCAGAAACAUUUAUUUGGCAUCAUACUUUGUAUCAUACGAAAAAUUUAUUUGGCAUUAUACCUUUAAGGAUCUCCAUUCUGAAUCUGCCCAUUGAGAUGAUACCUUGUCUAUAACGGCAACAAUAGUACCACUAAAUCUGUAACAAUAUAGAAUGUUAACUUAGUACAGUGUGAUAGCAUGUCUAAUUUUUAGUUUACAAAGACACCAAAAUUACCUCCUUUCAGGAGUUUCAUCACCCUCAAAUCUCAUCUUAAACCUCAUCCCAACAGACAACUUGUAACUCUUGGCUUCUAGAUACUUGUUGAGACUAAUGAGAAACUCAGAUCGACUUGCUCUGGAGCAUUAAACAUAUCUUUAUGUCAGAUUCUAUUUUUGAAAAAGAAAAUAAAUUAAAAUUCACAUCUAAGAGAACUCUGUAGCUCGGAUGUAUCGAAAACCAGUACAGAAGGCAUAAAAUUAGCUAAAUGAUUAAGACCAGAAAAAAACCAAAUGUCAUAAUGCAAAUUCUUCAUUACAAAUUUAAGAAAUAGAGAAUAUAUACAAAUAGAGAACAUAAUUGCAUUAAAAAGCUGGACCAUCAAUAUCCUUGAAACAGUAUACAUGAACCUAGUCCCAUAUUACUUGCAAGCUAGCGUGUGAGCAAGAAUAGCAAGAUAUUCUGAGAGCAGAAUGCCAACUAAAAGUGUAACCUUGGUUUGUAGAAAACAGAAAAAAGUGUCCCAGUAGUGAUAGCAUGAGAUGCCGUUGCAAGAACUCCAAGAUGCAUGCUGUGACUGGAUAUCACGGAUGAUGGCAUAUUAUUUAGUUGCCUCAUGAGCCUCCUGACACCAACUCGCAGCUCACCGUUUUCCCCUCUGCCAUGAGAAUGUAGAUAGUAAUUCCCAAGUACAUAGUAAUUCAUUUACAAAAGUGCCACAAUUUAUGACCAGAAAAUAUGUUGAAUUUCUCAAAUGCCCAAUAAAAGCAAUGAUUUUCUGACCUUAAAAAUAUAAAAGCAUCACCAGCUACCAACCGCUUCGAGCUGACAUAUACACUCCAACCAGUUGUAAGCAGAUGGCGCCUAGGUUGACCUGAAAGAGUGAAAAUGCAAGUCUGACUCCACCAUCUAUGAACAACAUGAUCGCUACUUCGAUUCUGAACAAUAAUAAUAUUUGAUAAAAUCAUGAAGGUUGCAGUUUUUCAACUCAGAUUUUAUUGAAGAAAAUCAAUUUUGACACCUUAUGUUUAUUUAGGUACUACAAAAAAUGCAUAAUUUACUAAAAAUCACAUACUGACCCAAAAUAUCAGCUAAAACCAUAAGACAUAUCUGAUCAAGAAUGCUUUCUAUAAGACAGAGGUGUCUUGUGAUUUAUAGUAAACUUUUUGACGAAAAAUGUUUUGUUUCUUUUUUUAUCAGUAUAGAGUCAUCCAUACUAUCAAAGAACACAAGAUGUCAUAUGCAGUUGUCAAAUUAGCAAAGAAAUUCUCUGGCCCACACAAAAACAACGAAAACUAGAUAACGACUGGAGAACCUUAAGUUGCAGCAGUAGCAUAGGAAAAAUAAUGCAUCUUAUAGAGAUUGACAACUGAAUAAAUAUAAUAUAAACCUCGAAAAAUGUGACGAAACCGCCACUCAUUUUCAUGAAGAUCUUUGGCAACUAGUUCUUGCCAAGGUGGAUCCUGAGUCAUAUCCUACACAAGGAUGAAAGGAUUUAGCAAGAAAUUUACAGUAUGUGAAAAAUAAAAUGCUAAUCCAAUUCAUCUGCAACAAAGUUCAAAAUCUCCUAUUUGGAUUGAUACAUGAGCAUAUAAGCAACUUGCAAUAGCAACUAACCAAUGGAGGAAGGCAUUCAUCUGCAUGCCUCCUGAGAACUGAGAAACCUCCAUGGGUGCUUGUGUCGGAGGCAGUUAAAGUCUUACAGAAGGAAUGGAUCUUGCACCUUUCAGGCUCAGGUAAAGGAGGAUCUGGACUAGUGAUCUCACCUUCCUGAUGCAAAGAAAAAAAAUAAUCUUAGUAUAAAGUAUAAACAACAAAGAAAUAACAGAAGAAAAAUAUAGUAGCAUCAAAAUCAAAAGGCUAAUGAUGUAAAAGAAGAAAAAAACUAUCAAGAUACAUAAGUUGUUCUUGAACUUAUAAUCAGAAAAAAUAAUUUCGUGGAAGAAAUAGAGGAAAAACUUUCAUAGGAAUACAUUGCUUAUAAUCAACCCAUAAGAAGCAACUAAAGCUUCUAUUAUAACCUCAAAUCGUCUUAAUCUCUAAAAAAAGAGCACCUCAAAUUAUCAAGGGAGUUUUACAUAUAUCUACCUUUCAAGGUUUGAAAAUAGCAUAUUUGCCCCUUCAAAUUUUAAUAUUGCAUAUAUAUCCCUCCAAAUAUUUAGAUUUUACAUAUAUAUCAUGAUAAAAUCUUUCAUAUAUGCCACUCCCACUAGCAUCCAGCCAAUAAAGCCAAAGCCAAAGCCAAAGUUAACUACAACUAAUCAUAGUUAUCACUAAUUCAAUUUUUUUUCAAUUUUUAAAUACCUAAAACAUCCUUUAUUACUUUCACCAAUUAUUUGACCUCUCAUGUUUGUGAACAUUUGUGAAGAGUGAUUACAAUUUGAAUUCAACAUCAUCAUGCUAGCAAUGAACCAAUGGCUGUUAACUACAUAUAGCAUAUUUGCAAGUUUUUGAGCUUUGCAAAGAUAUAUAUACUAAACUUAAAUUUAGAGAAGCAUAUACAAAAUCUCUAACUUUAUAAGGAUAUAUGCGCAAAUUUACCAAAUGCUAAAUUUAUGCUAAAUUUGGAAACACUGCAUGACAUGAUUCCAUAAACAAAAUAUAAACUCCAUAAAGAAAGACUCACAUUUGGUUCAGGUAACAGUGUAAUUUGUGCAUACACUUCAUCUGUAUCUGGUUCUGCCUAUGAUGACAUUAUGCAAAGAAAAACAUAUCAUUUCUUUAUAUUACACCAUCAAACAUGAUGAAGAAUGGAAAGGUAGAAAUUAAACAUGACCCUUAAAGAACUUACUUUUAGUUCGACAUUCACCACCUUACACAGGAUUUUUGAUGGUAGAUUGAACACAGGCACAUGCUGGUCAAGCCCCUGAUUUGUUGAUGCCUCCAGCUACGACAAGGCAGAAACAAAAAAAAACACUGAGGCAGAGAAGACAAUCUAUCCAAUUUUAUUCUCUCAUUUAACAAGAUAAUGUAACCAUGAUGGAAUUAGUGAUCAACUACCCUUUGCCAGAAGAGCUGUAUCACUAGUAGCAAGUGACCAAAAACACUCAAACCAAGUAAAAGAAAGACAUUCAAAAGCUUGCAAGCACCUGUUCCAUGUGACCUUGGGGAAAGUAAUAUGCUCGUUCGCCUUUACGAGGUAAGGUAACCAAGGGUCCAGCACAUGCAUGCCAUAGUUCAUCAUACAAGGCAUCACCAGAAGUCCCUGGAGAAAGAGGAAUAAAUAAUAAAAAUUGUUACUGCAGCUCCAAGAACAAAUGAGUUGUAAGACUAACCCAUGAUUGAAAGAUCAUUAUUUAGAAAUAUUCCGUCUAUUAAAAGGAAAUUUUAAGGACCAGCAGUUUAAAAGAGAAUAAAAGAAUAGUUCUAUGAGGCUACGAGUCGGGAAAAGGACAAGCCAAAAUCUUUACAGAACUGCACAAAAUCUGAGAGACUUGAAACCAUCAAACAUCUUGAGGAAACAAUAAUGAAAAAGAGCAAACCCUCUUAAAAAUGAAAAAAAAAACAAUUUUAGAACCAAUAAGAAGACUAUGAAGGAAACACAAGAAAAGACAAAAGGUAAAUUGAAACAUCCAACCAAGCAGCACAUUAACAGAACUUAAAGUGAAAACAACAGAGGACCAAAAAAAAUCACGUAAUGUGUGAGAAAAGCUAGCCAAAAAAAACUUUUUAAUUUGUGUACUUAAUUGAUUUCUACAAAAAAAAAUAUUUAUAUAUCCAGGAGCACGGAUUUCCUCAAGGUACAAAAAGUAAUACAUAAGGCAAAUAGCUAAAAAUAGAAGAGAAAAAGAAAUAAAGAUUGAAAGGAACAGGAUAUCUCAAGCAUAAAAAAGAACAUAUUAGAAAUGCAAUCAUGGAAAAGAAAUAAAUAUUAACUUAACAAAUACUAAACACAAACCGAUAACUGAUGAGAUAUUCAGGUGAGGCAACGCCAUGUUGCCUUGAGAACGCACUGAACCCCCUCAGCAACUCAAUUAGGAAAGAAUUGAUCUUUAAAUAAAAGCGCAAUGAAAUAGAUAGUUUGUCCCCAUCACCACAAAUCUUUCACCACCGUAGAACGAAACUCAAAGCAGAUGAUAAACAACGGAGGAUAUGAUCUCUUCUUCUUCUUCUUCUUCCAAACCUUCAAGACAAAAUAAAUAUUCAGAAAAGCCCAGUGAUCACACAUGUAUUAAUUCCAACCCCAAAUUCCAGUCCACCUAGAAACCCCUAGGAAAGCAACAUAAACCUGGUUACUUCCGUGGAGGUGCAACACUUAGCCUUGCAUCUGAAGCCUACCUCCGAUCCCGGCUUUGACGCUUUUAGUCCGGUGAAAAAGGAACCCUAGAAGCGUUCCCUCGCAGCCCCUCUACUCUUCUACUUACAGGACACCAUCUUUAACGGCCGAAAGGUACAAUAAAGGCGGUCCUCUUCGCCUCUCCCGGGUUUCCCGAAAGCCCUGUAACAGAAAGGCCACGCCUUUGCUGCGAAUUCCUCUUAAGAAUCACAGAUCUGAAGCGAGUAACACCGGAAUUUUUCCGGACUUAAAAGCCCCAGUACGAUGUUGAAGUUUGUUUUGCUCUGCGCACCAGAUCCCUUCAAAAUUCGUGUCGACCUUCAAGUUCCUCCGAUAUAACGGAAUCCUACAGAAAGAACAAGAAAACGAAUCGACUGAAACACUAAGAACACUUGAUACCGACAUGAAGAGCUCAAAUUAGAUGAAUCUACCUCAAUCGAUCAAUAUUCAGAACUCCAAUCAAACUUCCUCUUCCAAAGCCCCCAAGCACCGGACAGCAUCCCAGUUCCACGACGGACGACGCACCAAUCCUUCGGAGAAGACACCCGAACCCCGAAAAAUCCACAAUUCCCACCGAAACCUAUCACUUUCCUUUCCGUUCUCUGGUCGGGGAAGCCGACGCAAAAACUGGAUCGAUCUGAACCCUAAAUCAAAAUCAGAAUCGCGAGGAGGAAGGAUACGAAGGAGAGCAUUUGCAGAAAUGUCCGGAUUUAAGGAAUAAGGAUUGGGUCUAUUUUUUAUUAUUUCUUUGUGUGUGUCUGUGCUGCCUCUGCGAGACCCUACACGGCCCCUUCGGCGACGCUGUCUGCUGCCCACCAUAUAUUUCAUACAAGGCGCGAGACAAAAUGUAACUUGCAACCGUCCCCUUUGGGCGCCACGACAACCUUCUUCCCGAUUUGACUCGUUUAUUUCCUUCUAAGUCGCUUAGGUGUCUAUCAUCCGAACGCCACUGGACGAAGCAUUUUGCAAACGGUUCUUGGAGGUUAGUUCUGUCGCUUGUCCGCUUCCUAGCGCGCCUUCUUCCAUCCCUUCCCCCGCGGGUGCAAGUCACCUAUCCGGAACCAGCACAUCGUACGGAUCAUACGUCUCCAAUGUUGACGCAGUGAAUAUGAUCGAUCUGCUGUGGCUUUUGGUACGCUGUACCGGAGGAAGAAAUUAGGCGAUCCCUUGGCGUGGGCGAAUCCCAGCCGCCAGAUCCGACCCCUCUCCUUCGCCAUGGAUCACAGUGAAAUCACGGAAAUGCCCUCGACAGGGAAGGAGGACGCGGUUCUUGUGAUCCGCAGUUCGUCGGGGAAACCGCAGACGUGUAGGAUAGUUUUUGCUGGGCUGCGUUUCUCCCGUGACGCGGCGCAACUUGGUCUUGAUUUCAUGCGCGAUGCCAGGCAGCGUUCAGGUCUCGUGCGGUGAGAGCUCUCCCACGCCACGGCUUAGAGUGGAGCCCUCUUAGAAUUGGUGGGCCCGGGGCCCAUUGCCUGCACUCUGGAUUAGGCAGCAUAAAAUUAUUGGCCAUCGUAUAACAAUUAAUAUAUGAUAUUAAUACUACAAACCACUGAAUUUAUUAUGCACAAUUAAUAGUUUUUUAAUAUCCACUGAAGUGAUACCUGCGAAUAUAUAAUAUAUAUUAAUCGUAACAUUGAAGUGAUUACUAUGUAUGAUUGACCACCUAUAUUACUUUUUGAAUCUAAAUUUAAAUUACACUAUAUAUAUAUAUUAUUAUUGGGAGAAAUGUUGGUGUGCAGGUUCCAAUGGAAUCUCACGUUACUUCUAGUCUUCAUCCUCGUCCAAAAUAGAAGAAUCUUGAUAUGAAUUGGAUUGGUCAACUAAUAAUUAUCAUAUGGAAAACACAAAGACUACUUUUCCUCUUUUUUUUUUUGGAAAAUUAGAUAUAUUAUAAAAAAGGUUAUCGUGUCUUCCGUACGCUUGACACGUACGACGACGCCACUCGAUCAUUGCCGUCCAUUUACCGUGGUGGUCAACCUUAAGUCUCCAAGAAGGACACCCUCUCUACGCCAUCCGGUCGAGAAAUAAACGUACCCGUGUGGUGACUGGAGAGAAGAGGUGGGGUCCGCUGUUGAGGUGAGUCUUCACGCCCGCAAGAGAAAGUGUCUUGUGCUUUCCCGGGUGAUACCGAACGUUCCGAGGUGCCACUAGGAAUAAUGUAAGCACCCGCGAUUGGAACCCUCUCGUGUCGAACCCUGAACCGUCUGAUCUCAUCGCAUGAGGCAUCCUGCGGCUGCGAUGUGCUACGCGCGCUUCCGACCUUGUACGAAC
rnacentral:lncRNA from 1 species